UCAAGCUAACAGCGGACAUUGAAAGUAAAACUGGGUCUUGAGUCUGCGCCUAGGUAUGCCUACAGCUUCUCAGAGUCCUGUGGGAAAUGUCUAAGGACGCAAACUAAGCAGGCAACAUGU
rnacentral:snoRNA from 1 species